rnacentral:misc_RNA from 1 species
CAGCCGCGUAAUUCCAGCUCCAAUAGCGUAUAUUAAAGUUGUUGCAGUUAAAAAGCUCGUAGUUGAAUUUCGGGAUUGACACAUCGGUCGUGCCUUAAGGGGUAUGAACUGGUGUAGUCAAUUUCUCACCUUCUGGAGAACCGCGAUGUCCUUAAUUGGGUGCCGCGAGGAACCAGGACCUUUACUUUGAAAAAAUUAGAGUGUUUAAAGCAGGCAUUUUGCUUGAAUACAUUAGCAUGGAAUAAUAAAAUAGGACGGCAUGAUUCUAUUUUGUUGGUUUCUAGGAUCACCGUAAUGAUUAAUAGGGAUAGUUGGGGGCAUUAGUAUUCAAUUGUCAGAGGUGAAAUUCUUGGAUUUAUUGAAGACUAACUACUGCGAAAGCAUUUGCCAAGGAUGUUUUCAUUAAUCAAGAACGAAAGUUAGGGGAUCGAAGACGAUCAGAUACCGUCGUAGUCUUAACCAUAAACUAUGCCGACUAGGAAUCAGACGAUGUUAAUUUUUUAAUGACUCGUUUGGCACCUUACG